AUGCCUCUAGANGUAAAGUUUGAUCAUGGCUCAGACUGAAGCGCUUGCGGCAGGCCUAACACAUGCAAGUCGAGCGGUAACACAGGGAGCUUGCUCCUGGGUGACGAGCGGCGGACGGGUGAGUAAUGUCUGGGAAACUGCCUGAUGGAGGGGGAUAACUACUGGAAACGGUAGCUAAUACCGCAUAACGUCUUCGGACCAAAGUGGGGGACCUUCGGGCCUCAUGCCAUCAGAUGUGCCCAGAUGGGAUUAGCUAGUAGGUAGGGGUAACGGCUCACCUAGGCGACGAUCCCUAGCUGGUCUGAGAGGAUGACCAGCCACACUGGAACUGAGACACGGUCCAGACUCCUACGGGAGGCAGCAGUGGGGAAUAUUGCACAAUGGGCGCAAGCCUGAUGCAGCCAUGCCGCGUGUAUGAAGAAGGCCUUCGGGUUGUAAAGUACUUUCAGCGAGGAGGAAGGCAUUAAGGUUAAUAACCUUGGUGAUUGACGUUACUCGCAGAAGAAGCACCGGCUAACUCCGUGCCAGCAGCCGCGGUAAUACGGAGGGUGCAAGCGUUAUCGGAAUUUACUGGGCGUAAAAGCGCACGCAAG
rnacentral:rRNA from 1 species